UUCACCGUGGUAUGGAAUCUGAAGGAAGUCGGCGGUAAAACUAUGGUCUGACGAACAGAAACGACCACUAGGAUUCCGACACUAGUAGACCUUGGAAAUUAAAAUAUUUAGGAU
rfam:Clostridium proteolyticum DSM 3090 genome assembly, contig: EJ39DRAFT_scaffold00017.17